rnacentral:rRNA from 1 species
UGGGGAAUUUUGGACAAUGGGCGAAAGCCUGAUCCAGCAAUGCCGCGUGUGUGAAGAAGGCCUUCGGGUUGUAAAACACUUUUGUCCGGAAAGAAAUGGCUCUGGUUAAUACCUGGGGUCGAUGACGGUACCGGAAGAAUAAGGACCGGCUAACUACGUGCCAGCAGCCGCGGUAAUACGUAGGGUCCAAGCGUUAAUCGGAAUUACUGGGCGUAAAGCGUGCGCAGGCGGUUGUGCAAGACCGAUGUGAAAUCCCCGAGCUUAACUUGGGAAUUGCAUUGGUGACUGCACGGCUAGAGUGUGUCAGAGGGGGGUAGAAUUCCACGUGUAGCAGUGAAAUGCGUAGAGAUGUGGAGGAAUACCGAUGGCGAAGGCAGCCCCCUGGGAUAACACUGACGCUCAUGCACGAAAGCGUGGGGAGCAAACAGG